UGCAAGUCGAGCGGACAGAUGGGAGCUUGCUCCCUGAUGUUAGCGGCGGACGGGUGAGUAACACGUGGGUAACCUGCCUGUAAGACUGGGAUAACUCCGGGAAACCGGGGCUAAUACCGGAUGGUUGUUUGAACCGCAAGGUUCAAACAUAAAAGGUGGCUUCGGCUACCACUUACAGAUGGACCCGCGGCGCAUUAGCUAGUUGGUGAGGUAACGGCUCACCAAGGCAACGAUUCGUAGCCCACCUGAGAGGGUGAUCGGCCACACUGGGACUGAGACACGGCCCAAACUCCUACGGGAGGCAGCAGUAAGGAAUCUUCCGCAAUGGACG
rnacentral:rRNA from 1 species